rnacentral:tRNA from 1 species
CGCCGGAUUCGUGCUCAAACCGACCGCCUGACUCUGGAUCAGCAGGUUCUAGGUUCGAGCCCUAGUCCGGCAGCCA